rnacentral:rRNA from 1 species
AUACGGAAGGUCCGGGCGUUAUCCGGAUUUAUUGGGUUUAAAGGGAGCGCAGGCGGAGAUGCAAGCGUGACGUCAAAUUUCGGGGCUCAACCCCGUCUCGCGUCGCGAACUGCGUCCCUUGGUUGCGGGAAGGGGAGGCGGAACUCGUGGUGUAGCGGUGAAAUGCAUAGAUAUCACGAAGAACUCCGAUCGCGAAGGCAGCCUUCCGGCCCGUCAACGACGCUCAUGCUCGAAGGUGCGGGUAUCAAACAGGAUUAGAUUCCCUGGUAGUCCGCACAGUAAACGAUGGACACCCGCGGUUUGGCCUAUAUGGCUGAGCCGCCAAGCGAAAGCGUUAAGUGUCCCACCUGGGGAGUACGCCGGCAACGGUGAAACUUAAAGGAAUUGACGGGG